GACGAACGCUGGCGGCGUGCUUAACACAUGCAAGUCGAACGGAAAGGCCUCUUUCGGGGGGUACUCGAGUGGCGAACGGGUGAGUAGCACGUGAGUAACCUGCCCUUGACUUUGGGGUAACUUCAGGAAAAUGGGGCUAAUACCGGAUAGGGGCUCCUGCUGCAUGGUGGGGGUUGGGAAGUUUCGGCGGGUGGGGGUGGAGUCGCGGCUUAUAAGCUUGUUGGGGGGGUGGUGGCUUACAAAGGGUUUGUCGGGUAGCCGGGCUGUGAGGGGGAGCGGGCACAUUGUGACUGUGAUACGGCCCAGACUCCUACGCGGGGCGGCGGUGGGGAAUAUUUCACAAUGGGUGGAAGCGUGAUACACCGACGCCGUGUGCGGGAUGUCGGGCUUUGGGUGGUGAACCGCGUUCGCUCAUGACGAAGCUUUGUGGUACGGGAGUGGGUAAAGAAGCACCGGCUAACUUCGUU
rnacentral:rRNA from 1 species